UUAUUGUUAUUUAAACAAUCGCAGACGAUGAAUACUCUUUCUGCGUCCCUCAAUCAGACGAGCGUGGUUCUCCGAGGGCGCAGGGAGAGCCGCACAACGAUUCCAGGAUGGCGGGCGUCGAACUGGGCAGCGCAGAGACGGCUUUGCGAUGAAAGCCAGCCCGAGAGAUGUCGCUUCCUCCCCCGAAGAAUACUAACAGAGGGGCAGAUGAUGUUGGAAGUCAUCAACACAAGCCAUAUCCCUCAAGGAAACGGGGGUCCGCGGUAUCUCGUGUCAGCAUGUCUUACAGGCAGCUGGGCCCUUCUGAAUGAUCAGGAAUAGGGGGGACGAGAGGUCAACAGAAUCUAGUUCACUGCAUCACAGCAGCCCCCUUUUCCAAAAUCCUUCUCCCACGCUGGUUGUGACAGGCAUUCUAGUUCUGUUUUUGCUCUGUGUUGACUCAGCUACCACACUGCCAGUCCCUCUUAAAAAUGAUGGCCUGGAUCUGUCCAUCCCAUCUUAAAGCCCCCUCCCACAUACCCCCAUGUAAAUCUUACGGGUAGGGUUUUUUGAGAGCAGUGUCACCCCCAAGACUCCCCAGAUUACACAAUGCUUCUGUGGUCCCUUGGCACAUCAGUCUCAGUGAUGCACAGGUCUGUGCUGUGUCAGUCUGGCACACCGUGGCAGUAAUGUAUAGUGUUAUAUCUGUCUGACACAUUGUAGCAGUAAUAUACUGUAGUACUAUAUCUGUAUGACAUAUGAUAGCAUUAAAAUGUGGUAUUAUAUCCAUCUGACACUAUUGC
rnacentral:lncRNA from 1 species